CUGUUGAGCUUGACUCUAGUCCGACUUUGUGAAGAGACAUGAGAGGUGUAGGAUAAGUGGGAGGUCCUCGGGCCGACGGUGAAAUACCACUACUCCCAUCGUUUUUUUACUUAUUCAGUAAAGCGGGGAGCGACCCUCGGGUCCCGUUUCUAGCCUUAAGCGCGGCGCUCUCGGGCGCCGCGCGAUCCGCUCUGAAGACCGUGUCAGGCGGGGAGUUUGACUGGGGCGGUACAUCUGUCAAAGAGUAACGCAGGUGUCCCAAGGUGAGCUCAGCGAGGACGGAAACCUCGCGUAGAGCAAAAGGGCAAAAGCUCACUUGAUUUUGAUUUUCAGUAUGAAUACCGACCGCGAAAGCGUGGCCUAUCGAUCCUUUUGAACUUGCGAGUUUCAA
rnacentral:ncRNA from 1 species